UGGGGAAUCUUAGACAAUGGGGGAAACCCUGAUCUAGCCAUGCCGCGUGAGUGAUGAAGGCCCUAGGGUCGUAAAGCUCUUUCGCCAGGGAUGAGAAUGACAGUACCUGGUAAAGAAACCCCGGCUAACUCCGUGCCAGCAGCCGCGGUAAUACGUAGGGGGCGAGCGUUGUCCGGAAUUAUUGGGCGUAAAGAGCGUGUAGGCGGCCUGGUAAGUCUGUCGUGAAAUGCUGGGGCUCAACCCUGGACGUGCGAUGGAUACUGCUAGGCUAGAGGUUGGUAGAGGCGAGUGGAAUUCCCGGUGUAGCGGUGAAAUGCGCAGAUAUCGGGAGGAACACCAGUAGCGAAGGCGGCUCGCUGGGCCAUUCCUGACGCUGAGACGCGAAAGCGUGGGGAGCAAACAGGAUUAGAUACCCCCGUAGUCC
rnacentral:rRNA from 1 species